GACGAACGCUGGCGGCGUGCUUAACACAUGCAAGUCGAGCGGUAAGGCCCUUCGGGGUACACGAGCGGCGAACGGGUGAGUAACACGUGGGUGACCUGCCUUUAGCUCUGGGAUAAGCCUGGGAAACUGGGUCUAAUACCGGAUAUGACCUCAUGACGCAUGUUGUGGGGUGGAAAGCCUUGUGCGGCUAGAGGUGGGCCCGCGGCCUAUCAGCUUGUUGGUGGGGUGAUGGCCUACCAAGGCGACGACGGGUAGCCGGCCUGAGAGGGCGACCGGCCACACUGGGACUGAGACACGGCCCAGACUCCUACGGGAGGCAGCAGUGGGGAAUCUUGCGCAAUGGGCGAAAGCCUGACGCAGCGACGCCGCGUGAGGGAUGACGGCCUGGUGUAAC
rnacentral:rRNA from 1 species